rnacentral:misc_RNA from 1 species
GAAAUGCGAUACGUAGUGUGAAUUGCAGAAUUCCGUGAACCAUCGAAUCUUUGAACGCACAUUGCGCCCGCCAGCACUCUGGCGGGCAUGCCUGUCCGAGCGUCAUUUCAACCAUCAAGCCCUGCUUGUGUUGGGGCCCUGCGGCUGCCCGCAGGCCCUGAAAACCAGUGGCGGGCUCGCUAGUCACACCGAGCGCAGUAUCUUACCCUCUCGCUCAGGGCGUGCGGCGGGCUCCUGCCGUGAAACCCCCCCACUGUAACCCAAAGGUUGACCUCGGAUCAGGUAGGAAUACCCGCUGAACUUAA